GACGAACGCUGGCGGCGUGCCUAAUACAUGCAAGUCGAGCGGACAGACGGGAGCUUGCUCCCUGAUGUUAGCGGCGGACGGGUGAGUAACACGUGGGUAACCUGCCUGUAAGACUGGGAUAACUCCGGGAAACCGGGGCUAAUACCGGAUGGUUGUCUGAACCGCAUGGUUCAGACAUAAAAGGUGGCUUCGGCUACCACUUACAGAUGGACCCGCGGCGCAUUAGCUAGUUGGUGAGGUAACGGCUCACCAAGGCAACGAUGCGUAGCCGACCUGAGAGGGCGAUCGGCCACACUGGGACGGAGACACGGCCCAGACUCCUACGGGAGGCAGCAGUAGGGAAUCUUCCGCAAUGGACGAAAGUCUGACGGAGCAACGCCGCGUGAGUGAUGAAGGUUUUCGGAUCGUAAAGCUCUGUUGUUAGGGAAGAACAAGUGCCGUUCAAAUAGGGCGGCACCUUGACGGUACCUAACCAGAAAGCCACGGCUAACUACGUG
rnacentral:rRNA from 1 species